CAGUUCAGCCAACAUGGUGUUACUUGUACUGUGGUAGCCAAACUUGGUGUUUGCCCUGAAGAGAGUGGCUGAGUUUUCUCUGAGCAACUGAGGGACAGAGAGGUGUUCAGUGCCGAAGGCAAUAUUGUAUGGAGAGGGUUCUUUGCCCACCAAAGAGAAUUCUUUCUUUUCAGACUUCAAAGAUGCCAGAAUGACAUUUUACAGAGUUUAGUGGAUGAAUAUUUUACAGAGUCAGCUCAGUGUGACUGGAGAUGUAGGUGAAUGGCUUUAGGACUUAAGGGAAGAGGAGGAAACUGAAACACACGCUGGUGGUUGAUGAUUAAUAGUCUCUCUGC